UAAAAGGGUGUCUAUAAGAUUGAGUAUGCAGAGUGAAUGAAAUUUAUUGGGUUAAUCUAACAAGACAGUCAGUGGAUACAAGAUCGUAAGUACAAAGCGGUAUCGGAGAUUAGCAGAUUGGGUUGUUCGGGGUUCUCUGUAACGUCUAGAGAUCUACCGGCUGAUGCAAAAAGGACUUCGACAAGCAGUCGAAGGGCAUCCGCAUAGAUUUACGGUGUAUUCUUGAAAUCGUUUAUAUUCUAGCAGUCAAAAACUGAUAGACUGCUUGACUAUUGGCGAAUCUCCAUACUACCUUCUACAGCCAGAUGCCCGGCACGUUCUCGAGCAGGAAAGCACGUAAUACGACAAAAGUGGUGAACCCGACGUGAAAGCUUGAGGUGGAAGGUAUUGGAUUUCGGUUGAUUUUAUCUUUAUUUUAUGGAAAACGAAAAUAAAAAUUUUGAAGGAUUUUUGGGAGGAGUUUCUGGUGGGGAUUCUUCUAAAAGACAAGGUAUGCACAUGGAUCCGUCUAUUGCUAGUAUGUUUCAAGCCUUCUCAUUGUCAAUGCAGCAACAACAAAGCAAUGAUUGAAAGGAAGCUUUGGCAACCAAAGCAUUGCAAGCAGUGGUCAAUAAAAUUGAUCAAUUUGAUGGGAGGAAUAUUUCAAGGUAUUUAAGAUGUUAUGUUCGUGAAAUGGAAUUAAAUCGGGUUUCUGAGAAGAAAAUGGUUGAACUAUUUGGACUUGCCACGAUACCGGAGAUAAGAGACCAUAUUGCAUUGAUUACGGAUUGUUAUGGGAAUUCAUGGGAGGUUUUUUCACAUGCAUUGAAAGACGAAUAUUUCUUGGAAGAUGCUGAUUGCGUUACUAAGAAGCUGUUUCUGGAAUGGAUUGAACGGUCCAAUAAGAAUUUGCAAGCAACAGAGCUACUAAGGGAAUUUAAGAGGCAAUACUCUCAAUUAUCGAAGGUAGAAAAAUUGAAAUUGGAGCCGAACAAAGUUGAUCUAUUUCUUCAAGCUGCUGAUGGAGAAUUGUAAAGGAAAUUAGAACUCCUUCUUGAAGACAAAGAAGAAGAUGAAGGAUUGACAACGAAGUGGAAGAACGUUGAAGAUGCGGUGGGGUUGCUUACAAAAAGAGAAAGGAGGAAGGAUAGGAGCAAUAUUCAGAAAACAGUACAAGCAUCCAAAGCUCCAGUACGUACAACACCACCAACAAUGCCUACAGUUCAACCUUCGACAUCCUUAUCAAAGAAAGCAGAUAUGGGAAUGGAAGAAAUUAUACGAGGAAUGCGAGAUCUUCAAAUCAAAUUGGCAAGACUUCAAAAGAAUACUUCUACAAACAAUUUGAAGAAUGUUUCAAAACAAGGAUAUGUACAAAGAUGCAUUUGGUGUGAUGAUGCUUCACACACUAGAAAAGAUUGCAAUGAAUUUAAUAAUAUGAUACGACAGGGAAUUAUUUGUUGAAAAGAUGGAAAGAUAGCAUUGAAAAAUAGAGAGGAUCUUCUUCAAACCAAUUUUGGUAAAGGAGGAAUGAGAGCAUUGGUUCAAGAUUACCUAAAAGAGCAUGAAACAGCAGCACGAGAAAGUGCAAGUUAUGGUGCUAGAGUAGAUGAUGAAAUUGGUGGAAGUACGGAAACUAGUGAGUUUUGGGCUUCUGCCGUUUCUACAAUGCAAGAAGGGAAAUUACCUCGAGAAGCGUUAUUGAGGACUGCAGCUAUAAUACGAGGUAGAACAAGUUGGGAGGAUCUUGUUGAGUCUCUUUCAGUUCAUGCAUAUAUUGCUAAGAGCCAACAUGAAGCUUUGAUGGAAGAAAAGAGACGAGGAAAUUUUGAUGAUACGAGAGAAGGAAAUUCUUCUAAGAGACAAACUCGAGGAGACAAGGCUCGGGAGGCAGCUUCACAAGAAUUGCUUGUAAAGGAUAUCUCAACAUCAUUGGAAGAAAAAACAAAGGAGACAAAAGAUAAAGGCAAAUCAAUUGCUUAUAAGCUACUUUCUGACAUUGAAGCGGCAACAGAUUUGAAAGGGAUUUUGGAAGAACGUAUAUUAAACGCUAAGGUAGAAUUCACAUUGAAAGAAGUCUUGGGAAUUGCAAAGAAGGAGUUUCAUGAUGUUAUCAUUGACAGCAUUAAGCGAAAGAGGCAAUUAAUGGACGAAACUGGAAUGAGUCAUGUUAUUGAUGCAAGAAUAUAUAGAGAUGAAGAAGAGGUUGAUAUUGGUCACAAGCAACCAACAAAUGAAAAGAAUGGGUAUAAUCAACGAGUACGUUUCGAAGAUUCUAGUGAUAAGGAAAUGGAAACUUUGAGCCAUUAUACUCGAAAGCAUUGGGCAAGAGUAACUACUGAGGUAUAGUUGAAAGUAGGAGAUAUAGAAGAACCAAUGGUUGUUUUAGUCGACCAUGGUUUUGAAAUAAAUCUCAUGUCUAAAGAUCUUUAUAAGAAGCAAAAAUGGCCAAUUGAUAUGGAACAUGGAUGGGCAAUACGAGCAGCUAAUAACACAGAAGGCGAAUUAUAUAGAGCUAGUCUAGAUGUCAAAAUUCGGAUUGGGGAUGUUGCGACGGAGCAACAUUUCUUUGUUCAAGAUACAAUGUCUUAUCCGUUGAUUUUAGGACAACCUUAUAUUAUGGCAACACGGAUAGAAACAAAAGUACUUGACGAUGGUUCUGCUUAUGGAAGGGUACGGAGCGAAGAUGGGAGGAAAACUGUACAAUUUCUAACAGUACUUCCUAACCAUGAAUGGAAUUGAGAUAGGUUGAGGGAGAAACCACUGCCAAAGAUUGUUGAAGGAUUUAAGGAUUUUGGGGAGGUACCACUGUAAAGCGAGAUUAUGGAGGUACAAAGGAGGAGGUACUCUUGCUACAUGAAGGUGCCUUUGAUGCGAGUUUUAUUGGUAUAUUGGAGAAUGGAAAUAUUAUGUAUAAUAAAGUUGAUGAUUUUAAAAGAAAAGAAAGAAAAAGAUUAUAUGAUAUUGAAGGAUAAUUACGCAAGUUAGGUACAUUGCAAGAUGAUGAGAGGAUUUUAGGUGUUUAUGAAGAAAAUGGACUGGAAGAUUCAUUGGAAUUGAUUACAUCUAUUGGGUUAGUGGAUAAUGAUAAGAUUGUUGAGAUUCAUUCAAGAGAGGUUUAUACCAUACUUGAAUCUUUUCAAGCACCAAAAGUCACUGUAGAGACGAGAUAUAAAACAGCAGAUAAGAAGGUAAAGCCUGUUGGCGGACCAUUACCAGAAGAUUCUAAAGAACAAAUGGGAGAAGCAUCAAAAGAAGCAAGUUUAAGAGAUCCAAUGAGUAUUGGACAUCAGUUUACUAAAGAGACUUUUGAAGAAUUGAAGAUUGGUUCUGAUGGUUCUUUAUUGCCGGAGGAAAUUACUUGCUUCAAAAAGAUGUUGGCUAAACAAGGUAGAUCGUUUGCUUUCGAAUCUCAUGAAAUUGGGUGUGUGGAUCCAAAUAUUAUAAUACCUAUGGUUAUCUUCAUUGUACCACACGUACCUUGGAAUCUAAGACCGAUUCCAGUAUCGAGGACACAUUUACCUAAAUUGGUGGAAUUAUUAAAAGAAAAGAUAAAGAUGAAAAUAUUGGAACCCUCGUUUGCGCCAUAUUCUAGUCGAUGGUUUACGUUACCUAAGAAGAAUGGGUCACUACGGUUUAUUCAAGAUAUGCAAUCAGUGAAUGCAGUAACUGUCAGGAAUGCAGGAAUUGGACCUAUUGUGGAUGAAUUUGCUGAGGCGUUUGCUGGAAGGGUGCUCUAUUCAAUGAGUGACUUGUAUUCAGGUUAUGAUCAAUUUCAACUUGCCAAAGGAAGUAGAGAUAUGAUAAUAAUGAGGACACCACUUGGAUUGGUUACAAUGUGCACUCUUCCUCAAGGUGUGACCAACUCAGUUGCGCAUAUGAUGAAUGGGAUGAAUAAGGUAUUGAGAGAUUUUAUUCUGGAAAAGACUAUGCCUUUUUUGGAUGAUGUUCCUAUAAAAGGGUGCAGAGAAGGAGACAAGGAAGAAACUUUAGAUACGAGGAGGUGUCGCAAAUAUGUUGUUGAUCAUAUACAAGAUUGUGAAAAGAUUUUAACUCGGCUUGGAGAAGUUCAUCUUACAUUAUCGGGUAUGAAGUCCGUAUUUGGAAUACGAGAGGUUGUAAUUGUUGGACAUUUAUGUGGAUCUUACGGAAGAAAACCAGAUCCAACUAAAGUUGAUGCAAUUGGAAGGUUGAAAGAGGAUUGUGAUUCUUUAACAGAGGUUCGCAGGUUUUUGGGUGCAUGUGUAGUUUAUUGAAUCUGGGUCCCUCAUUUUGCUCACAUUGCGGAUCUAUUAUAUGAAUUUUUACGCAAGGGUUCUCUAUUUAAAUGGAAAGAAAGGCAUAUUCACGCAAUGCAAAGAUUGAAGAAAUUAUUGAUCUCACCUCCAAUAUUGAGGAAGGUUGAUUAUAAGUGCAAUAGAUCAGUGAUUCUUAUUGUGGACGCUAGUCCAAUUGCCAUUGGAUGGACUGUGAGUCAAGAUGAUUCCAGUGGGAAUAGAUUUGCAGUUCGGUUUGGGGCCAAAAUUUUAAGUAUUCGUCAGCGUUGUCGUACUGUAAUUACUUACAGUAUGUAAAAAUUAGUGAAAACAUGUAAUAUGUUUAUAAGUCUUAAUGUGAGUUAGAAUAGUUAGUAUGUUAAUUUAAAAUGAAUUGAAAUAAGAAAAAUUAUUUGGAAGUUAAUCUAGUUUGAUUAUAGAGUUUAUAUUAUAUAGGAUUUAGAUAGUUAGUAUAAAGAUUAAGGGAAGGGAGGAGUUAAAAGAUGAAAAUAUAACUAGAAGGAGGCUUAUUGGGAAGGAUGAAAGUAAGGCAUGGUUGGAUGAAGGCAAGGGGUGAAGAACUUCAUCCCUAUUGGUCGAAUACCAUGCCCAAUGGGUUUUGAGGAGGCUGCCCGAGGCCAUAUUAGGAAUUAGGGUUCUUCUUUCGAGGCCAUUCGAGCUUUUGAGGCUAGGGUCAGAAGGUUUAGGGUUUUGGGUAUAAUUUGGGUGAAGAUUUUGUGUGAUUUCGAGUUUUUAUGGAAAAGAUAUGAAUGUUCAAAGAUAAGGUGUCAAUUUCGUACCUACUGUCACUUCUUUUGGGCAUCACAUACAAAUACGGAGAGCAACGGAAGAUCGGCGACUGAAUUUAGAGGGAGCAUUUUCUCGGCUACACAUUCUACUUACUGUAUAGUGAAUUCUAAGAUUGGGUGAAGGAGUUAUGAUGCGUUGAAGACAACACUUGUAAUUUAAAGGCAGUAAGUAUAUCGUUUUGUUGCUAGUUAUGGGUGAAGCCAUAUCUUGAGUUUCUGGACGAAUUUUUGGCUCAAAAUUUCCACAUGUGUGUGUAAUUGAGUUAAGAAGCUUUAGAUCAAAGUUUCAUAGUAUUUGAAUAAUUACUUUGUGAGAUAUGAAGGAAGUUGUACACGGGUGUAAAAAAGCUAGGGUUUGAAGCUACAGUUAGGGUUUUCAAGAUAUCACAAGAUCCAAGGCGAAUUUACGGUUGAAUUUUGGUGUGGUAGUUGCUAAAGAUAUAUCAGUACUCCAAGUAAAAUCUGGAGUUGUUUAGACGGUUAGAUCGUAAGUUAUGAGCUGUUGAACUUCGGGAAAAAUUCCUCACAAGGAUAUAUAAGUUUUUUAUAACACCUUAUCAAGUAUUUUGGUGUUCUUUGGAUUUUAAGGCUUGUAUAUUGAUGUAAUUGCUCCAAAGGAGAGGAGUUUAUAUAUAUAAAAUUAUUACCCUUACAUUUCAAACUUGAUUGAGUAUUUAGUGACAGCUAGAAGCCCAGCGCUUUCUUGAGGCAAACUCUCUCUACCCCGACAUAUUUGGUGCUUCCACUGAGAGAGCCUUAAGGCACUAAAAUUCUCAAUAAGUUAGAAUGGGGGAUCAAGUUCCUGGGUUUGGAUUACCAAGUGGAGUAGGUGCUCAUGAUUUAUUCAGGGCAUUUGCUGAAUUUCUGGAAGAAAGGCAACAGGUGCAUGGAGAGGAUAAGAAUACCACCAAAGCUUUACAAGUAGUGGUGGAUAAGGUUGGGAGGUUUGAUGGGAGGAACAUCACUAAGUUCCUCAGGGUUUAUACAUGUGAAAUGGAAGUACAUCAGGUUUCAGAAGUAAAGAUGAUUUCUACCUUUGAUUUGGCAGUGGUACUAGAAAUCAGAGAGAGGGUGCAAGAGUUGCAUACUGAGACUAUAUCAUGGAAGAAAUUUGAAGAACUCUUGAAAGAUGAGUUUUUUGAGGAGGAUUCAGAAAGAAUGACAAAAAAAACUUUUUUGGAUUGGAUUGAGCAAAGGCCAGGGAAUCAAAUGGCUCCCAAUGAAUUAAUCAGGGAAUUUGAGGCUAAGUUUGGACAGUUACCAUGACAAGAGAGGCAGCUUUUGGAAACAAGGAAGACUGGAUUGUUUUUAUAAGCAGCUGAUGAACAUUUGGAGGAUAAGCUACUCUUUUAUCUAGCAGACAAGACAUCUGAGAGUGGUUUUACUAAUGAUUGGAAGCUAGUAAAAGAGACAGUGGGGCUUUUGGCUAGGCAACAAAAGAUUAAGACUCGUGGAUUAUUAUCAAGAUUGGAGCCAAUGCCUGCAUCUCAAAAUCUAAUGCCACCUCAAAACGAAAUCAAGACUGUUAAGGAUGGUACUCUUGAAGACCUAAUUAAGGGCAUACAGGACUUGAAGGUGGAAAUGACUGAAUUGAAGAAAUCCCAGAUGGCAAGCUCAUCAAAGACAAUUGAAGGCUCAAAGGGAUUUAUAGAAAGAUGUAUGUGGUGUGACAAUCCAAACCAUAAGCGUGGUGAGUGUGAUAGCUAUAAGGCUCCAAUCAAGGAUGGUAUUGUGUAUUUCAAAGAGGGCAGGAUAAGACUCACAGGGUCAGAUGAGCCUCUAAAGACUAAUUUUAGGAAGGGUGGCAUGAAAAAAUUAGUAGAGGAGCAAACAUCAAAGAAUAGUGCCAUAAAAGGGGAAGGAGCUGAGUCUUAUUCUAUUACAGUUGAACAAAAGGGAGUUAAGGCUGUUUCUUUGCCAACUAAAGGAGUCAUGAUGAGGGGAGCUGAAGCUAUCAGAAAGAAAAUUGGGUGGAAUGAUCCAGUUGAUGCUAUUAGCAUUAAAGCAUAUUUGUGUGGAGACAAGCAUGAUGAUGAUAUGCAUGAUGCUAUGGUUGAGGAAAAAAGAGGUAGAACUAUUCAUGAAGAGGAUGUUAUUGAGCUUGAAAACAAGAGGAGGUCUCCAAGAAAUAAAGAAGCUUCUAAGGAGCAAAAAACUGAGAAGGUAUCUUCUUCUACUCAUCUUGGUAGUGCACCAUUACCAAAAGAGUGGUGGAAGAAGGGCAAAGAAAAGGAGAAAGAAGAUACAAGCAAACUUAAAGGUAAAACUCUUGCUUAUUAACUUCAAUCUGAGAUUGAAUCAUCUACAGAUAUGAAGAGUAUUUUAGAGGAGAAGAUUUUGGAUGCAAAGAUUGAAUUCACUCUAAGAGAGGCUCUAGGCAUAGCCAAGAAGGAUUUUCAUGAAUUAAUCAUUAAUGUGAUAAAGAGGAAGAGGCAAAUGACACCAAAAGCUAUUAUGGUAGAGGCAUUGGAUACUCGGGUAACUGUGGAUGAAGAAGAAGAGAUAGGACAGGUAUUUGCACAAUUUGCAAUGCCUGAAACUAGAAAUAAGGUUGAUAUGGAAAACAAGGUUUCAUUUAAACAUGUUGAAGGUAAAAGAGAGCAUCAAGUGGAAUGCACACCUUUGGGAUUUACAGGGAUAAGGAAGGAUGCACAAGAAGCAAGUGUUAAUACUUGCUCCAAAUGUGAAAAUGAGGGAAUAGAGAGUAGUAGUUAUUCAGUUCCUUAUUGGGCUAGAGCUACUAUAGAAACAUAUGUGAGAUUGGGGGACUUUAAAGAUCCAAUUUUGGCCCUGGUUGAUCAUGGAUCUGAAAUCAACAUCAUGUCAAGGAAGAUAUAUGAGAAGAAUAAGUGGCCAAUUGAUAUCAACCAUGGUUGGGUAAUCAGAGCUGCAAACAAUCAACAAGGUGAUUUACAUGGAGCUUGUUUAGCUGUAAAGACUAGAAUUGAAGAUGUAGAAGUAGAGCAAAAUUUCUUUGUGCAAAACUCUGCUACAUAUCCGGUAAUACUUGGUCAACCUUAUAUUACAGCUGCUAGAAUGGAGACUAGAGUCUUGAAUGAUGGUUCACAUUAUGCCAGAAUUCGGAGUUGGGAUGGGAGAAAAGCUGUGCAAUUUAUUACUGUGAAACCUAUCCAUGAGAGACACAGAGAACAAUUAAGAGGGAUGCCUUUGGAGCCAAGAAAUAACUUUGUGGAUUUCUAAAAAGCACCCUUGUAAGAUGGGGGCACAUGGGUACAAAUGAUUCAUCUACAAACCCCAGUGUAGAUAGUAUGAGUUUUGGAUUUUUGAACUUAUCUAGUAAUGGAUUUGUGAGUGUUCAAAAGGUUAAAGAUUUAGAUUCUAUAAAUAAAAAAAGGGUAAAGAAACAAGAGAAGAACUUAAAAAGAGUGGUUUUAGUUUCAAGUGAUGAAGCCAUAGUUGGAGUAAUAGAAGAAAUAGGUUUGGAAGAUGAUUUGGUAAAGAUUUUGGAGAAUCUGGCUAUAAACAUAGAUGGAGAUGCUAUAGUAGAAAUAUAUUCAAGAAGGACUUAUGAACGAUUAGAAAGGAUGGUAGCAAAUGGUGGACUUGCUACAAACUAUGGGUUGAAGCAUGAGGCUAGAGUACAAACUAAAUAUAAAACUGUGGCAAGAAAGGUAAAGCCUGUAGCUACACAAUUACUUGUUGAUAAUAUGGAGCAUAUUAAACAAGCAGUUAUAGAGCCAAGUCUAAGAGAGAGGCGUCGAAUUGGACAUCAAUUUACACAAGAAUCAUUAGCUAAGUUGAAGAUUGGAGGGGGUGACUUCUUAACAUCAACGGAAGAAGACAUGUUUCAAGAAAUGCUUAUUAGACAUGGUAAGGCAUUUGCCUUAACUCCUGAUGAAAUCGGAUGUGUGGAUCCUAGUAUUAUAGUACCUAUGGUAAUUUUUACAGUGCCACAUGUUCCAUGGGAUUUAAAGCCUAUACCUGUGCCUAGAACUUUACUUCCAAAAUUGAUAGAAUUAUUAAAAGAGAAGGUGAAGAUGGAUAUUUUGGAACCUUCAAUUGCUCCCUAUUCUAAUAGAUGGUUCACAGUACCCAAGAAGUCAGGGACAUUAAGGUUUAUUCAGGAUAUGCAACCUGCAAACAGGGUGACUAUUCGAAAUAUGGGAUCAGGUCCCAUAGUAGAUGAAGUGGCUGAACAAUUUGCAGGUCAUGCCAUUUAUUCUAUUGGAGACUUAUAUUCUGGAUAUGACCAAUUUCAAUUGGCUAAAGAGAGUAGAGAUUUAACUACCAUGAAGACUUCUUUGGGUUUAAUGAGGAUGUGUACGCUAUCUCAAGGUGCACCCAACUCAGUGGCUCAUAUGCAAAAUGCUAUGAACCAAAUAUUAAAAGAAUUUGUACCUGAGAAAACCAUUCCAUUUCUAGAUGAUAUACCUAUAAAAAGAGAUAAAGAAGAAGACAAGGAUGAGACUAUGGAGGUUGAAGGUUGUAGAAAGUUUGUGAAGAAACAUAUUGAAGAUGUGGCUCAGAUAUUGGAGAGAUUGAAGAUGUGGCUCAGAUAUUGGAGAGUCAGUUAAUCUCACGUUAUCUUUGGAGAAAUCAAGCUUUGGAGUUGAUGAGAUUCUAGUGGUGGGGCACAUGUGUGGCAGAGCUAGAUAAACAUUUGAAGAAGAGAUGAUGGCAUAUGAAAGAGGUGAAGAUGAAGAAGAGAAGAAUUAUGGAAGUUCAUUUGCUACUGGUGGAAUGGAUUUUGGUGACAAGGUUCAAAAUUUCUAUGAAGGAUUUUGGGGUAUGAAAUAUUUGGUUUUAGCAAGAGAAGAGUUAUCAAACUAUGUUGAAGGAAGGGCUUUGAGAACCAAGACCACGGAAGCAAUAUGCAGGUUUAUAUUAGAAGACAUCUUCAGCAGAUAUGGCUAUAUUGGAAGGAUGAGAGCUGAUAGAGGAGAAUUGGAUGCCAUAGAAGCAAGAGAUUUUUUCAAAAGAAUUCCAAUAGCAGAGAAGAGGGUGAAGGCUUUCAAAAGAAGAGAUGGGUGGUUUCAAAUAGAAGAUCUUGAAGAAUUGUUACCUCAAUAUUUGGACCAAGAACAUGAAGAAGAAGUCUCUAUGAGUGAUUCCAAGAAGUCUCAAGAGGAUGAAGAAGAGUAGUAUGUGGUACAUACCGGAGGAUGUGCAAGUUUGGAGGGGGUGGAUGUCGUACUGUAAUUACUUACAGUAUGUAAAAAUUAGUGAAAACAUGUAAUAUGUUUAUAAGUCUUAAUGUGAGUUAGAAUAGUUAGUAUGUUAAUUUAAAAUGAAUUGAAAUAAGAAAAAUUAUUUGGAAGUUAAUCUAGUUUGAUUAUAGAGUUUAUAUUAUAUAGGAUUUAGAUAGUUAGUAUAAAGAUUAAGGGAAGGGAGGAGUUAAAAGAUGAAAAUAUAACUAGAAGGAGGCUUAUUGGGAAGGAUGAAAGUAAGGCAUGGUUGGAUGAAGGCAAGGGGUGAAGAACUUCAUCCCUAUUGGUCGAAUACCAUGCCCAAUGGGUUUUGAGGAGGCUGCCCGAGGCCAUAUUAGGAAUUAGGGUUCUUCUUUCGAGGCCAUUCGAGCUUUUGAGGCUAGGGUCAGAAGGUUUAGGGUUUUGGGUAUAAUUUGGGUGAAGAUUUUGUGUGAUUUCGAGUUUUUAUGGAAAAGAUAUGAAUGUUCAAAGAUAAGGUGUCAAUUUCGUACCUACUGUCACUUCUUUUGGGCAUCACAUACAAAUACGGAGAGCAACGGAAGAUCGGCGACUGAAUUUAGAGGGAGCAUUUUCUCGGCUACACAUUCUACUUACUGUAUAGUGAAUUCUAAGAUUGGGUGAAGGAGUUAUGAUGCGUUGAAGACAACACUUGUAAUUUAAAGGCAGUAAGUAUAUCGUUUUGUUGCUAGUUAUGGGUGAAGCCAUAUCUUGAGUUUCUGGACGAAUUUUUGGCUCAAAAUUUCCACAUGUGUGUGUAAUUGAGUUAAGAAGCUUUAGAUCAAAGUUUCAUAGUAUUUGAAUAAUUACUUUGUGAGAUAUGAAGGAAGUUGUACACGGGUGUAAAAAAGCUAGGGUUUGAAGCUACAGUUAGGGUUUUCAAGAUAUCACAAGAUCCAAGGCGAAUUUACGGUUGAAUUUUGGUGUGGUAGUUGCUAAAGAUAUAUCAGUACUCCAAGUAAAAUCUGGAGUUGUUUAGACGGUUAGAUCGUAAGUUAUGAGCUGUUGAACUUCGGGAAAAAUUCCUCACAAGGAUAUAUAAGUUUUUUAUAACACCUUAUCAAGUAUUUUGGUGUUCUUUGGAUUUUAAGGCUUGUAUAUUGAUGUAAUUGCUCCAAAGGAGAGGAGUUUAUAUAUAUAAAAUUAUUACCCUUACAUUUCAAACUUGAUUGAGUAUUUAGUGACAGCCAGAAGCCCAGCGCUUUCUUGAGGCAAACUCUCUCUACCCCGACAGCGUGCAUAUUCGCAAGUCAAAAGAGAACUUUGGGGAGUCGUUUCGGCUAUGAAAGCUGAAAGGGAUUAUUUGAUUGGAGCAGUAGUAGUAAUUGAAACAGAUUGCUUGCCAUUGCUUGGAAUGAUUAUUAACUGUUCAACACCAGAUAUUGCAAUGUUGAGAUGGAUUGCUUAUAUUAAGUCACUAAAUCCAAAAUUUAAGCAUAUUACUGGGAAAGAUAAUUUAAUAGCAGACAUGCUAUCUCGAGCAAGAUACGAGAGGGAGGACAAAAUGGUUGAAGACAUUGAUGACGUCAGAUUGAAAUUCUAUUCAAUAUCAAAUCUCAACAAAGAAGACAAGCUAUUUCUUGAAGAAUCUUAUGAAGGAGAGUUAUUGGAUAUUGGUCAUUACUUGAAUACCUUGACUAAGCAGGGAAAUUGGUCUACAGAAAAAUUCAAACAAAUAAGAAAAAGAGCAUAUGGAUUUUUACUUCGAGAUGGAUUCUUAUGGAUGAGACCAAAAGCAAUCAAAGAAGGUGACUGGGUACUUGUUUAUGACAAUAGUCUGGAUAAUCAACAUAGUACUUUGCGAAAAUUUUUAAAACGUUGGUUUGGAUCAUAUGUGGUAACAACUGUUCAUGAUAAUGCGACUUACUCGUUACGGGAGUUAGAUGGUACAAAAUUGAAAAUACCAAAUGCAGGGAAGCGAAUAAAAAUAUUUAAACAAAGACACACGGAGAUGAAUAUGGAAGACCUUAAUGAAGGUAUAUAGAUUCCGCAGCAAGAAGAUGAAAGUGAUUUGGAUAAUGAAGGUGACGAAGACGAACAGGACAAAGACAUAGAGGAUAUAUUCUGAAUCAAACAGCAAUUGGGUAAAUUGGUGCAUACCGGAGGAUGCACAGGUUCAGAGGGGGUGGAUGUCGUGUUGUAAUACGAGUAUACCGUGAAAAUAUAAAGAAAGGGGACUUUUAUUAAUGUUCAGUUACCUCGAAUAUUGGGAGCAACGACCAACUCCAGUGUAAAUACUGAGUGGCUAGGUUCAGUCAUCCCAUUACAGUCAGGUGGGGCAUAUUGAAAUGCUCCAUUUGAUUCGAAUAACGGGAGUCAGCAGGAAGAUAAAGGACUAAUUCACACGACGGGUGAGCCUGGUUCGAAGAGCCAAUUGGAUCCAAUUUCAAGAAUCCAAUCUGGGUCCUCUUAUCCAAUAUGAGACUUGCAUUGGUCGGGCAAUCCAAUGCAGUCUAAUUACGAGAAAAUCCAGGUCUUACUACGGGCCUCAGCCAAUCUGACGCGAAGGACCAAUUUGAUCCAAUUACGGGAACAUCCAGGUUACUACGGGCAUCUUACUCAAUAUGAGACCUGAAUUGACCGGGCAACCCAAUGCAGUCUAAUUACGGGAAAAUCUAGGUCUUACUACGGGCAUCUUACCCAAUAUGAGACCUGAAUUGGUCAGGCAACUCAAUGUGGACCCGAGUACGGGGUUUCGAUUCUAUUUCAGGCUAUCCUAUUCUCUGUGCCGUUUCAGGGAAUGUUGUUUUCAGUAAAUGGAUCUCUUAAAGGUAAAAACGGAGGAGAAAGCUCUGACGGCAGGAGCCAAUUUCGGAUCUAAGCUCUGACGAUGGGAGCCAAUUUCGGAUCCAAGACGGAAGAUUGAAGAAAUUCAGAGGAUAAGGUUAGGGGGAGAAGAAGUUUUUGGGGAGGUUUUUUUGAAGAUCAGGGGGAUUGGAGAGGAGCUUCAUGCUUCGGGUCGGGGAAGAAAAGACGGAGAAUUGGGUUUUUCUUCUUCAUAGGGUUUUGGGAAGAUUGAGGCAAUCGUUGCUGAAGUCAGUGUUGUAAUGGUGAAUCAGGAUUUUUUAAUGAAGUGGGUUUGAUUACUCUUGAUUGUUUUGUGAAAUUAAGUUACGUCUGUGAUUGAAGAAUUAAAAGGGUAUCUAUAGGAUUGAGUAUGCGGAGUGUAUGAAAUUUAUUGGGUUAAUCUAAUAAGACAGUCAAUGGAUACAAGAUCGUAAGUACAAAGCGGUAUCAGAGAUUAGCAAGUUGGGUUGUUCGGGGUUCUCUAUAACGUCUAGAGACCUACCGGUUGGGGCAAAAAGGACUUCGACAAGCAGUCGAAGGGCAUCCAUAUAGAUUUACGGUGUAUUCUUACAGUCGUUUAUAUUCCAGCAGUCAAAAACUGAUAGACUGCUUGACUAUUGG
rnacentral:lncRNA from 1 species